rnacentral:rRNA from 1 species
CCUACGGGAGGCUGCAGUGGGGAAUAUUGGACAAUGGGCGCAAGCCUGAUCCAGCCAUGCCGCGUGGGUGAAGAAGGCCUUCGGGUUGUAAAGCCCUUUUGUCCGGAAAGAAAAGCACGGGAUUAAUACCCUCGUGUGAUGACGGUACCGGAAGAAUAAGCACCGGCUAACUUCGUGCCAGCAGCCGCGGUAAUACGAAGGGUGCAAGCGUUACUCGGAAUUACUGGGCGUAAAGCGUGCGUAGGUGGUUUGUUAAGUCUGUCGUGAAAUCCCCGGGCUCAACCUGGGAAUGGCGAUGGAUACUGGCAAGCUAGAGUGAGGUAGAGGAGAGUGGAAUUCCCGGUGUAGCAGUGAAAUGCGUAGAGAUCGGGAGGAACAUCAGUUGCGAAGGCGGCUCUCUGGACCAUCACUGACACUGAGGCACGAAAGCGUGGGGAGCAAACAGGAUUAGAUACCCCAGUAGUC